rnacentral:rRNA from 1 species
ACUCCUUGAAGAGUUUGAUCAUGGCUCAGAUUGAACGCUGGCGGCAGGUGUAGCCUAACACAUGCAAGUCGAACGGUAACAGGAAGGCUUGCUCUUUGCUGACGAGUGGCGGACGGGUGAGUAAUGUCUGGGAAACUGCCUGAUGGAGGGGGAUAACUACUGGAAACGGUAGCUAAUACCGCAUAACGUCGCAAGACCAAAGAGGGGGACCUGGGCCUCUUGCCAUCGGAUGUGCCCAGAUGGGAUUAGCUAGUAGGUGGGGUAACGGCUCACCUAGGCGACGAUCCCUAGCUGGUCUGAGAGGAUGACCAGCCACACUGGAACUGAGACACGGUCCAGACUCCUACGGGAGGCAGCAGUGGGGAAUAUUGCACAAUGGGCGCAAGCCUGAUGCAGCCAUGCCGCGUGUAUGAAGAAGGCCUUCGGGUUGUAAAGUACUUUCAGCGGGGAGGAAGGGAGUAAAGUUAAUACCUUUGCUCAUUGACGUUACCCGCAGAGAAGCACCGGCUAACUCCGUAGCCGCGGUAAUACGGAGGGUGCAAGCGUUAAUCGGAAUUACUGGGCGUAAAGCGCACGCAGGCGGUUUGUUAAGUCAGAUGUGAAAUCCCCGGGCUCAACCUGGGAACUGCAUCUGAUACUGGCAAGCUUGAGUCUCGUAGAGGGGGGUAGAAUUCCAGGCGGUGAAAUGCGUAGAGAUCUGGAGGAAUACCGGUGGCGAAGGCGGCCCCCUGGACGAAGACUGACGCUCAGGUGCGAAAGCGUGGGGAGCAAACAGGAUUAGAUACCCUGGUAGUCCACGCCGUAAACGAUGUCGACUUGGAGGUUGUGCCCUUGAGGCGUGGCUUCCGGAGCUAACGCGUUAAGUCGACCGCCUGGGGAGUACGGCCGCAAGGUUAAAACUCAAAUGAAUUGACGGGGGCCCGCACAAGCGGUGGAGCAUGUGGUUUAAUUCGAUGCAACGCGAAGCCUGGUCUUGACAUCCACGGAAGUUUUCAGAGAUGAGAAUGUGCCUUCGGGAACCGUGAGACAGGUGCUGCAUGGCUGUCGUCAGCUCGUGUUGUGAAAUGUUGGGUUAAGUCCCGCAACGAGCGCAACCCUUAUCCUUUGUUGCCAGCGGUCCGGCAACCUUAAGGCGUGUGCU